AUUGAACGCUGGCGGCAUGCCUUACACACGCAAGUCGAACGGUAACAGGUCUUCGGAUGCUGACGAGUGGCGAACGGGUGAGUAAUGCAUCGGAACGUGCCCAGUCGUGGGGGAUAACGCAGCGAAAGCUGCGCUAAUACCGCAUACGAUCUAUGGAUGAAAGCGGGGGACCGUAAGGCCUCGCGCGAUUGGAGCGGCCGAUGGCAGAUUAGGUAGUUGGUGGGGUAAAGGCUCACCAAGCCAACGAUCUGUAGCUGGUCUGAGAGGACGACCAGCCACACUGGGACUGAGACACGGCCCAGACUCCUACGGGAGGCAGCAGUGGGGAAUUUUGGACAAUGGGCGCAAGCCUGAUCCAGCAAUGCCGCGUGCAGGAAGAAGGCCUUCGGGUUGUAAACUGCUUUUGUACGGAACGAAACGGCUCUGGUUAAUACCUGGGGCUAAUGACGGUACCGUAAGAAUAAGCACCGGCUAACUACGUGCCAGCCGCCGCCGUAAGAC
rnacentral:rRNA from 1 species